GGUCCAGACUCCUACGGGAGGCAGCAGUGAGGAAUAUUGGUCAAUGGACGAGAGUCUGAACCAGCCAAGUAGCGUGAAGGAUGACUGCCCUAUGGGUUGUAAACUUCUUUUAUAAAGGAAUAAAACGAGGCACGUGUGCCUUUUUGCAUGUACUUUAUGAAUAAGGAUCGGCUAACUCCGUGCCAGCAGCCGCGGUAAUACGGAGGAUCCGAGCGUUAUCCGGAUUUAUUGGGUUUAAAGGGAGCGUAGAUGGGUUGUUAAGUCAGUUGUGAAAGUUUGCGGCUCAACCGUAAAAUUGCAAUUGAUACUGGCAGUCUUGAGUACAGUUGAGGUAGGCGGAAUUCGUGGUGUAGCGGUGAAAUGCUUAGAUAUCACGCAGAACUCCGAUUGCGAAGGCAGCUUACCAAUCUAUACCUGACGUUGAGGCACGAAAGCGUGGGGAGCAAACAGGAUUAGAUACCCUAGUA
rnacentral:rRNA from 1 species